rnacentral:piRNA from 1 species
UGCACAAUAUUUCCCUAGCCUUGAC